GUGCUCGCUGCGGCAGCUCAUGCACUAAAACUGGAACGAUACAGAGAGGGUUAGCGUGGCCCCUGCGGAUGGCACCGCAAUUCGUGAAGCGUUCCUAUUUUUA
ensembl:snRNA U6 U6 spliceosomal RNA